AUUGAACGCUGGCGGCAGGCCUAACACAUGCAAGUCGAGCGGAUGAAGGGAGCUUGCUCCUGGAUUCAGCGGCGGACGGGUGGGUAAUGCCUAGGAAUCUGCCUGGUAGUGGGGGAUAACGUCCGGAAACGGGCGCUAAUACCGCAUACGUCCUGAGGGAGAAAGUGGGGGAUCUUCGGACCUCACGCUAUCAGAUGAGCCUAGGUCGGAUUAGCUAGUUGGUGGGGUAAAGGCCUACCAAGGCGACGAUCCGUAACUGGUCUGAGAGGAUGAUCAGUCACACUGGAACUGAGACACGGUCCAGACUCCCACGGGAGGCAGCAGUGGGGAAUAUUGGACAAUGGGCGAAAGCCUGAUCCAGCCAUGCCGCGUGUGUGAAGAAGGUCUUCGGAUUGUAAAGCACUUUAAGUUGGGAGGAAGGGCAGUAAGUUAAUACCUUGCUGUUUUGACGUUACCAACAGAAUAAGCACCGGCUAACUUCGUG
rnacentral:rRNA from 1 species